rnacentral:misc_RNA from 1 species
GAGCAACCAAAAAUAUAUCCACCUUCAAUGCAGCAAUUUCAGGAGAAACUUAAGAAUAGUGCCAUUUAACAGAAAUUUGUCAUACACAGAGAGGCAAGGCCAUCUAUCUCUCUCCUUUUGAAGACAUAUAUAAUUGAACUCAACCUAAAUAGUUGCAUAACAGCAACAUACCCUGGUGCAUAUUCAGGAAGUAUGAUUCUGUAUCCAAAAGCUUUGAAAGUGAAACCCA